rnacentral:rRNA from 1 species
ACGAACGCUGGCGGCGUGCUUCACCCAUGCAAGUCGCACGGAAAGGCCCUGCUUUUGUGGGGUGCUCGAGUGGCGAACGGGUGAGUAACACGUGAGUAACCUGCCCUUGACUUUGGGAUAACUUCAGGAAACUGGGGCUAAUACCGGAUAGGAGCUCCUGCUGCAUGGUGGGGGUUGGAAAGUUUCGGCGGUUGGGGAUGGACUCGCGGCUUAUCAGCUUGUUGGUGGGGUAGUGGCUUACCAAGGCUUUGGCGGGUAGCCGGCCUGAGAGGGUGACCGGCCACAUUGGGACUGAGAUACGGCCCAGACUCCUACGGGAGGCAGCAGUGGGGAAUAUUGCACAAUGGGCGGAAGCCUGAUGCAGCAACGCCGCGUGCGGGAUGACGGCCUUCGGGUUGUAAACCGCUUUCGCCUGUGACGAAGCGUGAGUGACGGUAAUGGGUAAAGAAGCACCGGCUAACUACGUG